GACGAACGCUGGCGGCGUGCUUAACACAUGCAAGUCGAACGGAAAGGCCCUGCUCUUGUGGGGUGCUCGAGUGGCGAACGGGUGAGUAACACGUGAGUAACCUGCCCUUGACUUUGGGAUAACGUCAGGAAACUGGGGCUAAUACCGGAUAGGAGCUCCUGCUGCAUGGUGGGGGUUGGAAAGUUUCGGCGGUUGGGGAUGGACUCGCGGCUUAUCAGCUUGUUGGUGGGGUAGUGGCUUACCAAGGCUUUGACGGGUAGCCGGCCUGAGAGGGUGACCGGCGACAUUGGGACUGAGAUACGGCCCAGACUCCUACGGGAGGCAGCAGUGGGGAAUAUUGCACAAUGGGCGGAAGCCUGAUGCAGCAACGCCGCGUGCGGGAUGACGGCCUUCGGGUUGUAAACCGCUUUCGCCUGAGACGAAGCGUGAGUGACGGUAAUGGGUAAAGAAGCACCGGCUAACUACGUG
rnacentral:rRNA from 1 species